UUUUGCUAGGACUUAUCUUCCCCGGCAGGGGAAUCUUAUUACAAAAUUUGCGCACUAAUUUCGACGCUCCCUCCCACGGCAGGGACCUCUUUGGCUCUUGCCAAAUCUUCGCAGCCACAGGUGCAUGGGCAUGAUUUUGCGCUCGCGGAGACGAGACAAUUUUGACGGUUGCCAAAUUCAUUGUGGUCAAGUAUAUUUCGACGACAAAAAGACAAAUAUUCUGCCGGAUUCCUCUGCAAUGGAGAAUCGUGUGGCGCUGAGGUUUGGACUGGUUGGACUUUAACUAUCUGUAAGGAUGUCACCGUGAUUUGAGCGCGAUUAAGCGGGAGAAUGUGUGUUUAGGUCGUAGUAGCUAUAGUCGGGAUUAGAGCUGAAGUUUGACGGUUUCGAAUACCUAUCUUCUUCUAGUAACUCGCAUCCUGAACUCGACACUUGGUAAGACCUGCAUUGGCACUCAUUCACACACGCCGAGAAACACCCCUGGGCAUGACGGACCGUGCUGAGGUUCUUGUACGAAAACCCCACCAAAUAGUGUCCCUGCUUACGCUCGGUAGCUUUGUAGGUCCCUCCAUAGCAAACUCCUUGCGGACAAGUUUGUGAACUCGCGUGUUUGACAAGUUGGAUCACCAUGGUGAUGCAGGCAUAUACGGAUAACACCAUCACGAGCUGGAAUUUUAAAGUAUAAAACAACGUUUAUAAGGCGCGAUAUUAUGGCUUCAAUUGCAAUAUUUUUUGCCGCGGAUUCAUUUUACGAGCAAAAUGUUAUUUUAUUUGCUGUUUAUUGUACCAUACUUUAAGGUACCAACAGAUUGACUUCUUUUGAAAAUUAUAUUCUAGUUUAAUUAUCGUUUGAAAAAUCAAUGUUGUUGCGUUUAUUAAAAAAAGCGCAUCUACUUGGUAAACAGUAUACACGACACGAAGUUAAGAGCUAACAUCGUACAUGCAAAGUUACGAACAAGCGAAAUACCUAAAUUAUUUUAUUUGCGUUGCAAGAUUAGUUUUGUCUCGGUGUUCUUUGGGUUUUAGGGAAAAACAUAUUUUCAUGUGAAAAAAAUGAGAAAGCUGCAACGCAAUUUAAUUUGAGCUGUUUUGCCAACAAUCAAUUGAGCCUUCUUACUGAAUAUGACUCCGCAUCAUAGUUGUUUGAUUAUCUAUUCGGGAAAAAGAUAAAAGCAUAUGGUUUAUAUAGUCAAAUGUGUAAAAUAUAUGAAUGUAUUUUAUUUAUUUGGAUUUGGGUUUGACCAAAUCGACACCUGUUCUUUCGAUAACAUUGUUGCUUAACACAUUGUUUCACAUUUAGAAUUUGAAUAAAAUACAGAAAUCUAACUUUUUUUAACAUUUCGAAAAGUUCCAAUUUAAAUGUCAAAAGUCUAUCAAGUAUUUUUCACUUACCUGUAUUUAAAGAGUAGUUGAAGGCUAGACCUGUGAACGCUCUAAAAGCCGACAAUCUGUUUGAAAGAGUGGCAUUCCCAAAUAAACAGCACAGUUUUUGACAA